GAAUACCUACGGGGGGCAGCAGCGAGGAAUAUUGGUCAAUGGGCGGGAGCCUGAACCAGCCAUGCCGCGUGAAGGCGAGUGCCCUACGGGCGUUAAACUUCUUUUGUGCGGGAGCAAUAAGGGCCACGCGUGGCCCGAUGAGAGUACCGCACGAAUAAGCAUCGGCUAACUCCGUGCCAGCAGCCGCGGUAAUACGGGGGAUGCGAGCGUUAUCCGGAUUUAUUGGGUUUAAAGGGAGCGUAGAUGGGUUGUUAAGUCAGUUGUGAAAGUUUGCGGCUCAACCGUAAAAUUGCAAUUGAUACUGG
rnacentral:rRNA from 1 species